rnacentral:rRNA from 1 species
GACGAACGCUGGCGGCGUGCUUAACACAUGCAAGUCGAACGGUGAACUCUCCUUCGGGAGGGGGAUCAGUGGCGAACGGGUGAGUAACACGUGACCAACCUGCCCCUUGCUCUGGGAUAACCCCGGGAAACCGGAGCUAAUACCGGAUACGAGUCCGCGCGGCAUCACGCGGUCUGGAAAGGUUUUCGGCAAGGGAUGGGGUCAGCGGCCUAUCAGCUUGUUGGUGGGGGAACGGCCUACCAAGGCGACGACGGGUAGCCGGCCUGAGAGGGCGACCGGACAAACUGGGACUGAGACACGGCCCAGCCUCCUACGGGGGGCAGCAGUGGGGCAUAUUGCGCAAUGGGCGAAAGCCUGACGCAGCGACGCCGCGUGAGGGAUGACGGCCUUCGGGUUGUAAACCUCUUUCAGCAGGGAAGAAGCGAAAGUGACGGUACCUGCAGAAGAAGCACCGGCUAACUACGUGCCAGCCGCCGCGGUAAAAC